GGUCUUAUAUUCAAAUAUGAUAAGAAAUUGCAAAUUUCUUGGGGAUUAUUUAUUAAAUCUAAGGCUU
rnacentral:tRNA from 1 species